UACGUAGGGGGCUAGCGUUGUCCGGAAUCAUUGGGCGUAAAGAGCGUGUAGGCGGUCCGGUAAGUCCGUUGUGAAAGUCAGGGGCUCAACCCUUGAAUGCCGGCGGAUACUGUCGGGCUUGAGUACGGAAGAGGCGAGUGGAAUUCCUGGUGUAGCGGUGAAAUGCGCAGAUAUCAGGAGGAACACCAAUUGCGAAGGCAGCUCGCUGGGACGUUACUGACGCUGAGACGCGAAAGCGUGGGGAGCAAACAGG
rnacentral:rRNA from 1 species